CGCGGGGUGGAGCAGCCUGGUAGCUCGUCGGGCUCAUAACCCGAAGGUCGUCUGUUCAAAUCCGGCCCCCGCAACCA
rnacentral:tRNA from 3 species